rnacentral:misc_RNA from 1 species
ACCACGUUAAGUAUUUACAGCAAUCUACACUAAUGAAGACUAAAAGACUGUUCAAGAUCAAGCGAGGGAUUCACCAUCUUAUCUGUGCGCUGUACAAGAGCUCUGGCUUGAGGAAGUGUACAUUUUAAGCAGUACUUCUUACUUAAACAGCGGCAACAACGGAUUCUAUUCAUCUACAGGAGAAUCAUCAUCUUCCGCUAUCAUCCAAGGCUGCUUAGGACCCUUUCCCUGCCGUAUAAUUCUAGGAGCACUUUCAGUCAUAUCAACUACAGUAGACGGAUCAGCCACUCGAACACCCGCAUCAACAACAAAAUCAAGUCCCUCUGGACCAUAUACAUCAGCAAUAAUGACGGGAUCCAGUAUCCACUCAUCCUCCUUUGGUG